rnacentral:rRNA from 1 species
AUUGAACGCUGGCGGCAGGCCUAACACAUGCAAGUCGAGCGAGCGGCGGACGGGUGAGUAAUGUCUGGGAAAAUGCCUGAUGGAGGGGGAUAACUACUGGAAACGGUAGCUAAUACCGCAUACCAUCGGCUUUGCCCAGAUGGGAUUAGCUAGUAGGUGGGGUAAAGGCUCACCUAGGCGACGAUCCCUAGCUGGUCUGAGCGGAUGACCAGCCACACUGGAACUGAGACACGGUCCAGACUCCUACGGUAGGCAGCAGUGGGGAAGAUUGCACAAUGGGCGCAAGCCUGAUGCAGCAAUGCCGCGUGUAUGAAGAAGGCCUUCGGGUUGUAAAGUACUGUCAGCGGGGAGGCGUUACCCGCAGAAGAAGCACCGGCUAACGCCGUGCCAGCCGCCGCGGUAAUAC